UUCGGGUUGUAAAACUCUGUCUUCUGUGACGAACAAGCCUGUGAGUGGAAAGCUCAGGCCCUGACGGUAACAGAGGAGGAAGCCACGGCUAACUACGUGCCAGCAGCCGCGGUAAUACGUAGGUGGCAAGCGUUGUCCGGAAUCACUGGGCGUAAAGCGCGCGCAGGCGGCGAUCUACGUCUGGGGUGAAAGCCCGGAGCUCAACUCCGGGACUGCCUUGGAUACGGGAUCGCUUGAGGAUUGGAGAGGCAAGGGGAAUUCCACGUGUAGCGGUGAAAUGCGUAGAGAUGUGGAGGAACACCUGUGGCGAAGGCGCCUUGCUGGCCAAUUACUGACGCUGAGGCGCGAAAGCGUGGGGAGCAAACAGGAUUAGAUACCCUGGUAGUCCACGCCGUUAACGAUGAGUGCUAGGUGUUGGGGGGUACCACCCUCAGUGCCGAAGCUAACGCAUUAAGCACUCCGCCUGGGGAGUACGGUCGCAAGACUGAAACUCAAAGGAAUUGACGGGGGCCCGCACAAGCAGUGGAGCAUGUGGUUUAAUUCGAAGCAACGCGAAGAACCUUACCAAGACUUGACAUCCCGCUGACCGCUCUAGAGAUAGAGUUUCCCUUCGGGGCAGCGGUGACAGGUGGUGCAUGGU
rnacentral:rRNA from 1 species